rnacentral:rRNA from 1 species
AGCGAACGCUGGCGGCAGGCCUAACACAUGCAAGUCGAACGAUCCUUCGGGAUAGUGGCGGACGGGUGAGUAACACGUGGGAACGUGCCCUUUGGUUCGGAACAACUCAGGGAAACUUGAGCUAAUACCGAAUGUGCCCUUCGGGGGACAGAUUUAUCGCCAUUGGAGCGGCCCGCGUCUGAUUAGCUAGUUGGUGAGGUAAUGGCUCACCAAGGCGACGAUCAGCAGCUGGACUGAGAGGAUGAUCAGCCACACUGGGACUGAGACACGGCCCAGACUCCUACGGGAGGCAGCAGUAGGGAAUCUUGCGCAAUGGGCGAAAGCCUGACGCAGCCAUGCCGCGUGAAUGAUGAAGGUCUUAGGAUUGUAAAAUUCUUUCACCGGGGAAGAUAAUGACGGUACCCGGAGAAGAAGCCCCGGCUAACUUCGUGCCAGCAGCCGCCGUAAGAC